rnacentral:rRNA from 1 species
UUGCCAGCAGCCGCGGUAAUACCGGCAGCCCGAGUGAUGGCCGAUCUUAUUGGGCCUAAAGCGUCCGUAGCUGGCUGCGCAAGUCCGUCGGGAAAUCCACUCGCCCAACGAGUGGCCGUCCGGUGGAAACUCCACACCUUGGGACCGGAAGGCUCGAAGGGUACGGCCGGGGUAGGAGUGAAAUCCUGUAAUCCCGUCCGGACCACCGAUGGCGAAAGCACUUCGAGAAAACGGAUCCGACAGUGAGGGACGAAAGCCAGGGUCUCCAACCGGAUUAGAAACCCGGGUAGUCC